rnacentral:tRNA from 1 species
UCCUCUGUAGUUCAGUCGGUAGAACGGCGGACUGUUAAUCCGUAUGUCACUGGUUCGAGUCCAGUCAUAGGAGCCA